AUUGAACGCUGGCGGCAGGCCUAAUACAUGCAAGUCGAACGGUAACAUAAAAGAAGCUUGCUUCUUUUGAUGACGAGUGGCGGACGGGUGAGUAAUAUUUGGGAAACUACCUGAUAGAGGGGGACAACAGUUGGAAACGACUGCUAAUACCGCAUAAAGCCUGAGGGUGAAAGCAGCAAUGCGCUAUCAGAUGUGCCCAAACGGGGAUUAGCUAGUAGGUGAGGUAAAGGCUCACCUAGGCGACGAUCUCUAGCUGGUCUGAGAGGAUGAUCAGCCACAUUGGGACUGAGACACGGCCCAGGACUCCUACGGGAGGCAGCAGUAGGGAAUAUUGCACAAUGGAGGAAACUCUGAUGCAGCCAUGCCGCGUGUGUGAAGAAGGCCUUCGGGUUGUAAAGCAACUUUCGGAGGGGAGGAAAAGGAUAGACGUUACCCGUCAGAAG
rnacentral:rRNA from 1 species